GUUGGUCUUGGCUAUUGAGCGUAUCAAGGGCUUGAGAGUCGAAGUCCUUAAUGACGGACUCUAGCAUCGCUGAUAAGCCUCGAGCCAUUGCUUCUCCGCCGCCUCCGUGACCAUCUACGACGGUGGAUGACGACGAGCUAGUCGCGUCAGCUGAAUCGCGGCGGUUCGGUUCUGAUUGUUGCUCCAUUUCCCGGCGAGGCUAAAUUGUAUUUGUGGCUUUUAAAGGUGGUCUUUGAUGGGUAAAACAGAGUUUUGUCGUGAGGAUGACGGAAAUACCCCUUGGAAGUUAGUUUAAUUUCGAUUAAGAUUUAGGGUUUUCUGCAAAUGUGUGUAUAUAUGUUUAACGACGCCUUCAUUUCUCUCUGAUUCGAUCCAGAGGCCAGAGCGUGAAGAUGAGAGCUAAGUGGAAGAAGAAGCGCAUGAGAAGGCUUAAGAGGAAGAGAAGAAAGAUGAGGCAGAGAUCCAAGUAACCAAGCUUCAAGACAUGUUUACCAUCUCUCUUUCGUUCUAUUGAAACAUUGUUCUUAAGAUUUUUUCACAUCAGACUAUUGUUUAAGAUUUUAAUCAAAAAGAAAAUUCCAGACUUCCCUUCUUUAUCAA